GGUGCCAGCACGUGCUGGAUCCGGUGGUACAGCCCUGCCUAGGGGCUCGAUCUCGUCAAUAGAUUCUAUGUGGUGAACACUAGGUACUGAAAGCCAUCGCCUCCGGGUCGCCCGCACAGGCGGCUCCGAGGCGCCCACACCACCGCCACCUACACCUCCCCUCCGUCGCCCAGCUCCCCCGACGCCGCCGGAGGAGGCCGUCCCCGGCGGACGGCGGCGGCGAGGAACCCCUUUCCCUGCUUUUUCCCUUCCCCCACCACGAGAUCCCAUUGCCUGACACCGCAGCUGUGUGUCGGCUUGAUCUGCCGCCGGGCCUUCUGCUGCCGGACGCGGGCUCGCAGGGCUCGCCCCCUGUUGUGCGCUCUCUUGCGUCGCCCAGCUGCUGCCGAGCACGGGCUCGAAGGGCUCGGUCCCCUGCCUCGGCAAUGGCGGCUGAACUUCUUCGCCCAAUGGAAUCCUGCAAAUUCUAUGCGAUCCGGCCUAGGCGGUGGGCGCGAGGAUUCUGCAUCGCGGGAUGGAGGCCUGGAGGUGCUAAGCCAGCGCAACAGGGGCGGCCGGCAAGGUGCAGGGUGUGGUUUCCAUUGAUCUGGAACCUCGAGAUCCGGCGAUUGCAGGUCCCUAUACCGUCAGGCAUGGACUCGAUUAAGGAGGCUCUAGUGCUCUUCUCCCGCAAGGCGUCAUUCUGCUGAUCUCGGCCUUCAUCGAUCUAGCCACCGACGAGUUCCAGAAUUCUCCGCCGGAGAUCUUCACGGAUUGGCGCAUGAUGCCCCUGGAUAUCUGGAUCGGAUGAGAUCCGGUCGUGCAUGUCCAUAUAAUUGGCCCGGUGGCUUCACGAGGGCAUGACGCGAAGCUUCGCUGUCUGUUGACACCAUGGGACAUGUCGAUAUCUCGAUUUCCAUGUUGUCGACAGAGGCGGAGAAUGUCAUAAUGGCUGAGAUCUGAGGACUGAAAGGAAUGGCGAAGGUGGCCUUGGUUGGGAUGAAGAUUUUGCUUAACAGGCCGCUGUCCGGACAUGAAUGCGGAGCAAUGUUCCUGGCCAUUCCGAACACAUGGUACUUGUGAGCCUAGUGUUCGUUGACUUGCAGAAGUGGCCUCGGCAAGUGGCGGCAGCAGCACAGGAGGAAUUCAUUUUUGGUGGUGCUCCCGAAGUACCGAGUCUCGACUUUCAAGGGUGGCGUCCCCGGGGACGUGGCGGCUGGAUCCGUGAGAUGGCUGCAACAGCGGCAACCUGCGAGGUGGUUGCAACGGUGGCCAAAUCUGGGCCAGCUUGCGUCCGUGUGUCACUCAACCAUCAACGGGGUCGAAGGUGGUGCGACAAUGACGGGAAGCAAGGCGACGUGUACGACGACGAUCCUCAACCUACAUCUAGCGUCUUCUUCAACGAUCUGGGCGGACUUGGUACUCUCCCGGGCGCCAGAAUCCGGUGAGCAAGACGUCGUCCACCGGUAGCGAGGUUGUUGGCAUUAAAAAAUUUGAUGACAAGUUUGCAUAUACUUAAGGUGAAAACCCAUGAUCUUCUUCGGCUAGAUCAGGCAAUGUCGGCGCGUGAGCCUCAUGCCCUUGAUGAAGGUGUUGGCUCGAGGCUUGGCUUCGGGGAUGAAAAUCCCAUGUUCGAUCUUCGGUUGGACUUGUCAACAUAGGCACUCGUAUGACGAUCCCUUCUUGAAGGCUUUGUCUAGGGUAGCUUAUUUUUCAUUUAAUUCGGUCAUAUGUCAUAGGAUUAUGGUAGGCUUGUGGAGAUCCUGUUACAAGGCAAAUACAUGUUGGAUGGCCUCAAGUUUUCAUUUUUAUUUCUAA